rnacentral:rRNA from 1 species
UAAGGAAUAUUGCGCAAUGGGGGAAACCCUGACGCAGCAACGCCGCGUGGAGGAUGACACUUUUCGGAGCGUAAACUCCUUUUAUCAGGAAAGAAUAAUGACGGUACCUGAUGAAUAAGCACCGGCUAACUCCGUGCCAGCAGCCGCGGUAAUACGGGGGGUGCAAGCGUUACUCGGAAUCACUGGGCGUAAAGGACGCGUAGGCGGAUUAUCAAGUCUUUUGUGAAAUCUAGUGGCUUAACCACUAAACUGCUUAGGAAACUGAUAGUCUAGAGUAGUGGAGAGGUAGAUGGAAUUCUUGGUGUAGGGGUAAAAUCCGUAGAGAUCAAGAAGAAUACCCAUUGCGAAAGCGAUCUGCUGGAACCUAACUGACGCUGAGGCGUGAAAGCGUGGGUAGCAAACAGG